rnacentral:rRNA from 1 species
CUACGGGGGGCACCAGUCGGGAAACCUUUACAAUGCACGAAAGUGUGAUAAGGGGAUCCUAAGUGCUUACUUUCGGGUAGGCUUUUGUUGAGUGUAAAGGACUUGACGAAUAAGCGGGGGGUAAGACCGGUGCCAGCCGCCGCGGUAACACCGGCGCCGCAAGUGGUGAUCAGUUUUAUUGGGUCUAAAGCAUCUGUAGCCGAUUUGAUGAAUCUUUUGUGAAAUGGGUAAGCUUAACUUAUCCACGGGCAAGAGACACUAUUCAAUUAGGGACUGGGAGGAGGUAGAAGUACGCUUUGGGGAGCGGUAAAAUGUAAUAAUCCUUAGCGGACUACCUGUGGCGAAGGCGUCUGCCUAGAACAGGUCUGACGGUGAGAGAUGAAAGCCGGGGGCGCAAAUCGGAUUAGAUACCCUCGUAGUC